rfam:Pan troglodytes isolate Yerkes chimp pedigree #C0471 (Clint) chromosome 20, whole genome shotgun sequence.
AUUACCUGGAGAUUUUGUUAAAAUGCAGAUUGUGAUUCAGUAGAUCUGGAUGGGGCUGCAAUUCUGCAUUCCUAACAAACUUCCAGGUGAUGGUGA